rnacentral:lncRNA from 1 species
CUAUUCUCUCCACUGUCUUUCAAUGUUUCUAUUUUAUUGUCACUUGAUCAGUUUGCUUUCUCCAUCAAGAAUAUGACAUCAGGAAAAUAGUACAAAUGUUGGAACUUCACAAACCUGAUUUUAAUCCUGCCCUGCCCACUAGCUGUAUAAGUUGAAAUGUCACUUAACUCUGCUAAGUCUUGGUUUCUACACCUUUGAACAGUUACUACUUCCUACU